rnacentral:tRNA from 1 species
GGUCGCAUAGCUCAGUUGGUUAGAGCGCACGAUUCACAUUCGUGAGGUCCCAGGUUCGAGUCCUGGUGCGACCA